CAAAAGUGGAACUACAGAAACCAAAACAGAAGCUUAAUACAACUAGAGACUUCAUCAGAACUAUGACUUUGGCAGAUUGAGUCUUUGUUCUCGUUUUUGGCAGGUGCUGCUGCCUACAUCUGGGUUCCAAGGCCUGAAUGGUAACUCCAUCAUGGCAUCAGUUGUGCUAAGGUCUAGGGGCCUGUUUUAUGACAGAAACCUUUUCUCCAUGAAGGUGCAUUGGCAGUUGAGUAGUGGCAUGGAGAAUAGAGGCAUCAUGAUUACAUUAUGGAUGGAUCGAGGUGACAGAAAGACGAGACUUCCCUCUCCACCAAGACUACAGGCAGCAAGCAGCAAGCACAAGAAGAGAUCUCCUUGAGAAGGUGGGUCUAUGUAAACAUAGACCAGAACCCAAGUGAUCUGGAGCUCUUGAGUCUGUGUCCCCUGCUCAUCAGCUCAGUUCUAC
rnacentral:lncRNA from 1 species